rnacentral:piRNA from 1 species
UGAAAUAACUAAGUUUAAUGCCCCCCUU